rnacentral:rRNA from 1 species
UACGAAGGGGGCUAGCGUUGCUCGGAAUUACUGGGCGUAAAGCGCACGUAGGCGGCUUUCUAAGUCGGGGGUGAAAUCCUGGAGCUCAACUCCAGAACUGCCUUCGAUACUGGAGAGCUUGAGUCCGGGAGAGGUGAGUGGAACUGCGAGUGUAGAGGUGAAAUUCGUAGAUAUUCGCAAGAACACCAGUGGCGAAGGCGGUUGCCUGGGGCUUUGCUGACGCUGAUGCGCGAAAGCGUGGGGAGCGAUCCGG